rnacentral:piRNA from 1 species
UGCCUUUCUUGCUGAGUUCUGGCCCAGCGG